ACAUACGGGUCCGCGGCGCAGCAGGGCUGGCGUAGGGAAACAUGGCUUUCCCUCUCCCGGCCUUCCGCCCGCAUCGCGCUCGCCCAGGGCACGGCCCAGGGGACACUCCGGACCCCGCCUGGCUCCUCUGAGUGCUUCCACGUUUUUCGAUUUCCCUGGCCCGGGAGACUCCUCUCAUUGCUUUCCCUCCACCCUGAGAACAACCUGAGUUUGCCAAGAGGAAACUCCUGCGAGGGGGAUGGAUACCCGCCCUGGCUGCUGGCAAGAGAUGGAAACCAUUCCAAGCAGGAGUUGAUGGAGAGGGGAGGACGUCCCUGGAGGGAAAGUAACACUCAGAGCUCCGUGCGGGGCGAGCGAGGUCAGCAACAGGCAUUUGCAGAAGGAGCGGGCAGCGGCCGUGCCCAGCGCCUGAGUUAUUAGGCGCAUCGCCGCGUUCAUCGCAGCGCAGGGGGCUUACUCCAAACACACUCGAGGGCCUGCGAGCAGGGUUUUUUUUUCCCCCUUUACAGGACUUACCUUUCUCUUCGGCAUAAUGACUACGUUGGUGCAGCAAAAAAAGUAAAGCAAUGUUCUGGGCCGCCUGGCACACUGCUGGAUGCUGCCUGGCCGCUGCUGCUACUCCCGCAAUGGGCUCGGCUAGCCCGGCCUCUCCGACCUGCACCUCCGCUUCCUCCCCCGGCGCUCCACUCGCUCGCAUCCCGGUCCCCCAAUGGCGAGCCCUGCCAGCCAGCCGCGAGGCCCCAUUGGCUAAGAGAACGUUCUAAAUUCCACGAGGGCACGCCCACCCCCGUUCACCCGGUACGCGCAGUUGUAGUUUCCACUUCACUGGGAAAAAAAAAAAAAUUCUGCCUGGCGACUGAGCAUGCCCAGUUCAACUAGUAGCCUUCAGGCUGCACUAACUUGGAGUUUCAUUGUUUGACGUGCCUUCUUUGGAUUAAACCAUUGUGCAUCUUCAUAGGAAAAAAAAGUUAAGUAUUAAGUAAUGCUGGGUUAACUUUAUAAUGUAAAUAGGGCCACGGGGUGCCUUGUACAAUUGUUACUUAUAAAAGCUUGUAACGGGUGUUCAUGGUGCGGGUCUAUACAGGGUAGGAAGGUCUGUUCAGGAAGAGUCCACAGUUUCUAAGGUUCUCAGUUCCAUCUCUAGCAAAUACCAUCCCCCAUCCCCAUAGUUCCUUGGUCUAAUUGUUUUGUUUUUUGUUUUUCUUUAAGUCUGUGUUACAAGUCAUAUAUGAAUUCAGCCAAUUAUUCAGCUAUGUGUGAAAGUGGAUAUAAAUGUUUGUUGUGGAAAUUAAGGGGAAAUCGAGAAAUGUAGGAACAAAUAAAUCACUUAUAUAUUAAAUAUGUACAUUUAAACAACACCUGCCAGGUUACCAUUUUGUGUAUAGUGUAAUGUUUCUCGACAUUCCGCAAAGAAUUGCAAAAUACAUAUCUGAAUUU
ensembl:processed_transcript Gm29054 predicted gene 29054